rnacentral:rRNA from 1 species
CCCUUAGACGUUCUGGGCCGCACGCGCGCUGCACUGACCGGUGCAACAAGCAUCCGUCCUUGGCCGACAGGCCCGGGCAAUCUUUGAACGCCGGUCGUGAUGGGGAUAGACUUUUGCAAUUUUUGGUCUUCAACGAGGAAUUCCUAGUAAACGCAAGUCAUCAACUUGCAUUGAUUACGUCCCUGCCCUUUGUACACACCGCCCGUCGCACCUACCGAUUGAAUGGUCCGGUGAAGCCUCCGGAUUGGCGCGCACCUCGGUGCCGCCGAGAAGUUGGCUAAACCUUACCAUUUAGAGGAAGGUGAAGUCGUAACA